rnacentral:rRNA from 1 species
AGCAGCCGCGGUAAUUCCAGCUCCAAUAGCGUAUAUUAAAGUUGUUGCAGUUAAAAAGCUCGUAGUUGAAUUUCGGGAUCAAAGAAUCGGUCAUGCCUUGGUAUGUACUGGUUUUAUUGGUUCUCACCUUCUAAAGAACCAUGAUGUCAUUCAUUUGAUGUUAUGGGGAAUUAGGACUGUUACCUUGAAAAAUUAGAGUGUUUAAAGCAAGCUUACGCUUGAAUACAUUAGCAUGGAAUAAUGAAAUAGGACAUCAGAUUCUAUUUUGUUGGUUUCUAGGAUCGAUGUAAUGAUUAAUAGGGAUAGUUGGGGGCAUUAGUAUUCAAUUGUCAGAGGUGAAAUUCUUGGAUUUAUUGAAGACUAACUACUGCGAAAGCAUUUGCCAAGGAUGUUUUCAUUAAUCAAGAACGAAAGUUAGGGGAUCGAAGACGAUCAGAUACCGUCGUAGUCUUAACCAUAAACUAUGCCGACUAGGGAUCGGAUGAUGUUAAUUUUUCAAUGA